rnacentral:tRNA from 1 species
GGGGAUGUAGCUCAGUGGUAGAGCACUUGCCUACCAUGCAGGAGACCCUGAGUUCAAUCUCU